CAAAUCGCCGAGCAAUUGGAGCUCUGCAAAGUUUUAAAGAAAUGCACAUUUCCAAAACCCUACCAACAGGAAAAUAUUGCAAAAUCCUGUGAAUUGCUGGAAUUUCAGACUUCGCCCCUGACAAAUUGCUAUCUGAAACUGAAAACUCAAAGAUUUCCGGUCGAAUUCUUUAAAAUUUUCAGAAAAAUCGUUUGUGGCACCGGAAAUUUCGCGAAAUCAGAAAUUAGUGACGUCAUCGGCUUCUGGUGCGGCUCAGCGGCUCGUGGGCAAUUUUUGGUUGGAAAUGCGGAUUUAUUGAGACAUAUUUAUAGUUGUUAGUUGAGAAAUUCAUAAGAAAAUGAAUAAAAUGAAUAAAGUGUUCAAAUUUAUA
ensembl:ncRNA Y43F8C.18 ncRNA